AACGCUGGCGGCGUGCCUAACACAUGCAAGUCGAACGGGGCUAGGAAAGCUUGCUUUCCGAAGCCUAGUGGCGGACGGGUGAGUAACGCGUGAGUAACCUGCCUUUCAGAGGGGAAUAACGUUCUGAAAAGAACGCUAAUACCGCAUAACGUACAGUUACCGCAUGGUAGCAGUACCAAAGGAGCAAUCCGCUGAAAGAUGGACUCGCGUCCGAUUAGCUAGUUGGUGGGGUAAAGGCCUACCAAGGCGACGAUCGGUAGCCGGACUGAGAGGUUGAACGGCCACAUUGGGACUGAGACACGGCCCAGACUCCUACGGGAGGCAGCAGUGGGGGAUAUUGCACAAUGGGGGAAACCCUGAUGCAGCAACGCCGCGUGUGGGAAGAAGGUUUUCGGAUUGUAAACCACUGUUCUUGGUGAAGAUAAUGACGGUAACCAAGGAGAAAGCUCCGGCUAACUACGUGCCAGCAGCCGCGGUAAUACGUAGGGAGCAAGCGUUGUCCGGAUUUACUGGGUGUAAAGGGUGCGUAAGCGGCUAGGCAAGUCAGACGUGAAAACCAUGGGCUCAACCUGUGGACUGCGUUUGAAACUGUUUAGCUUGAGUGAAGUAGAGGUAGGCGGAAUUCCCGGUGUAGCGGUGAAAUGCGUAGAGAUCGGGAGGAACACCAGUGGCGAAGGCGGCCUACUGGGCUUU
rnacentral:rRNA from 1 species